GCCCAAUGAUGAGACCAAGGCGAAUGCGAGCUCAUAGGACAAGAGACUGAGCUCUUCUGUGCUCCUGUUGGCUGGUAAUCUUGGCUGGGCAGGGGAGAUUUGCUGCUUUGCUGUAAGGGCUUGCCUACAUUAAACAAGUUCUUCCUAUCAAGCUUUCCCUCAAAGAAAUGGAGGAGGAAUUUGGGAAGGAUGAUCAUUUUGUGUGUGUGUGUGUGUGUGUGUGGACACAGGUCAAAACUCAGUUCUCUGUAAUGUCCAAUGAGCUAGUUCUUCUGUAGUCUGAGGGCA